GGUGGCUUAGUGGUAGAGCGCCUGCCUUGCAUGCAUGAGGCCCUGGGUUCGAUUCCUCAGCACCA
rfam:Dipodomys ordii contig_35011, whole genome shotgun sequence.